CUCUAGACAGUAAAUGGAUUGAAAAAUGCAACUGUAACAAAUAUUAGGGAAAGGAUAAGAGAGGGGAGAAAGAAUGUGAGAGAGAGAAGGAAGGAAAUUGAACCUUUGAAUUUAGAGUCCGAAAAACUCAGGCAAUAAAUAAAUAAAGCUCUUGAAUUGUUCCAAGUAGCAGCAGCAGCAGCCAAAGCAACAGGAAUGCCAUGAAAACUUGUAAGCUUCCUUUGAAAGAAACCACUUUCUCCAUCCUCCCCCCCCACUCUCUCUCUCUCUCCUUGAAUCUAAGUUCUCUGAGUGAAGUGAACUCAAGCAUUAUUCUUGGGCCCGGACAAUGACUGGGCUGCAGUGUUGGCUUUUACCUUCAAAGUCAGAAGGGCUUAGCCCCCUGCUUCCUGCUUUUCCCAUUAAAGGCCAGGGGCCCCACGAUGUAGCCCAUUCCCCCUGUUCUAACUGGGAUGACUUUCAAGGAACUGGAGACAGCUCACCAAAGUCAUGCUUCUUUUUCUAGGUCUCAAAACUGAUGCAAACCAGAACUUGAAGUGGAGUCUUCCAGAACCCUGAGGUGGCUGCGCAAAUCCUGGCCAGCAGAGCUGACAGCCUAGCUGGGGAGAAGAGCUCAUCAAGAGAUGUGAAUAUCCAAUCUUCCAAGUCCAGACAGCCAUGGGAGCUAGGCUACAGGGCAAGGUGAACAGAACCACCAGAACCUUCAGCAGCCUGACCCCAGACCCUCAACCUCACUGAGAUGACUGCCGACUGACUCCUAACAGGGAUCUGCAACAUGCAGUUGGGGCUUGGACAGAGAUGCAGCCAGAAUACCCCACAACCUACGAGGAUGCAAUAUUCUAGGACUGUCUGUGCAAGACUUGCUCAUUCUACUCGUGGUCCUGAAGUUGACCUGGAGGCAAGCUCUGGUUCUGGGCUCUACUGGAGAUGCCCUGCCUCAGACUGGAUUUGCUGCUCUAACAAGCAAAACUGCUUGCCAACCAGAUCCUUCUGGCUCCAGCCUUGCUUCAGCCAGUUCAUGGCAGAGGCACUUCAUCCUUCCUCUGGAAGAUUACUAACACCAACAAGGAUGUGUGGGCUGGUAGAAGGAAAGAACCUGAAAACUUAUGGAGAGGAAAGUGAGAGGAGCUAGAGCCAUUGGCUGAAGACCUCAGUUCAAGGCCCUUCAAGGAAGAUCUUUGAACAUGCUGAGCCUCAGUUGCUUCAUAUGUAAAAUAGAGCUUCUGUCACCCGCUGGUCCCUACUCCUGAACCCCAGGGUCAGUUGUGUUUAAUGUGUGUGUGAGAGAGGCCCAUGGAGUGGUCAAGAGUGUUCAUGCUGGAAUCAGCACUGCCACUUUCUAGCUGAGCACUGGCCCUAAUUGCUGGUUGGCAAUAGGGGACAGAACCUUUCUGACAGAACUGCUGUGCAAAUUCAGAGAGCUUCCAUGCCCAACGUUCCCAGUGCCAUUCCUGCCAGGUGCAGCCUCUACUCUCAGGGGGCUACCCAUGUGGGAGAGAAACAGUGAAUGUGUAUAAAAAGUGGCUCCAUGGAUAGAGUGGCCACGUGUCUCCUGAAUAUGUCCACUGUUUUUUCUGGCAUAAUUACCAGUAGCAUCCCUUUUCACACUCAGAAGUGUUCUAGCUUAGAAGAUAAAUUUCAUAGUCACUUUCACUAUGAAGAAAACUGAAGAGCAUUUAGUGAAACAGUGACCCAAUCAAGUAUUGUUAGAUGAGCCGGCGGGCCACUUGGAGAAUAUGAUGUUUUCAUUACGACCUGAAUGAAGGGAAGGAGUCAGCCAUGCAUCACUGUGCUGAAUGAACAUUCCAGUAGAGGGGAGAGCAGAGCCCCUGCGGCAGCCCUGGGCUUCCGGUGUUGGAGGAAAAGGAAGGCUGACAGUGUCGUUGGAGCAAAUUCAAUUGAGUGGUACAAAAAGGGGGCCUAGGAAUAGCCCGGGCCACACCAUAGACUUCUUCUGAAUAUUUUAGUCCCAUGACCUCAUGCAUUCUCUUUUAUCUUAAACUGGUUUGAGUCAGGUUUUCUUUACUUACACACAACAAAUGACAGAAUUCUUUAAAAUAUAAAAUAUUAAUACUGGUAGUCUCAGGUUGUAGGAUUAGGAGAGCGUUUACUUUUAAAAGUUUGCUUCUCUGAAUUUCAUGCAAUGAACUUGGAUUACUUUUGUAAUUUAAUAAACAGGUUACAUAAAAGAUAUUGGGCUGGGUGCAGUGGCUCACACCUGUAAUCCCAGCACUUUGGGAGGCCAAGGCGGGUGGAUUGUGAGGUCAGGAGAUGGAGACUAUUCUGGCCAACAUAGUGAAACUCUGUCCCUACUAAAAUAAAAAAACUAGCUGGGUGUGAUGACAUGCACCUGUAGUCCCAACUACUUGGGAGGCUGAGACAGGAGAAUCGCUUGAACCCAAGAGGUAGAGGUUGCAGUGAGCUGAGAUGGUUCCACUGCACUCCAGCCUGAUGACAAAGUGAGACUUAGUCUCAAAAUUAAAAGUUAUUGUAUGUCUCCCCUAGAUACAGUGGCUGAACCAAUUUUUCCCUCCUGACAGCCAGUAAAGGCUCAGUGAAAAAAAAGGAGAGAAGAGAAGACCAAUAACCUGUGAAGUUUGUGUAAUUGCUAAGGGGUGAGUUGAGAGUUUACAAGGGGAAGAGGAGAAUAAGCACCAUGUGGAUGAGCCUCUCCCUGGUUGUGGAUGGAAAAUUCAGGGAGACACAGGUUGACUUAGUACUGUAUAUUAGUUGUUGCUCCUCCUUCAAGUUGAAUGCCUCCUCCACAGUCUCUGCUCCCAGAAGGCCACAGUUAUGGUUGAUGAUCCUCUGAAUCUGCAGCUCCUAAUGUGCAGUAAGCAACACUGAUACCUGGCAACUGGCCUAUUGAGCACAGAGCAUGGCCUCUGUUAUCUCCACAAAGACCUUUGUCCAACCAAGGCUGGCCAUAGAGAAGAGUGAGAGGACAUCCAUGGAGGGCCCAAGAAGAACCUGCAAGUUCCCUCUGCUGGGCCAGACAAAUAGACCCUCUCUCAGCCUUUUAGACCAGAAGGGACCUCCAUUCCAGCCAGAGAUCACAGACAACAGGUAUGCAGGAUGCCUCAUCCAUUUCACUUAUGCCCAUAGCAGACAUUCACAGCACAUUCUCUGUAUUAGGGUUCUCCAGAGAAACAGAAAUAAUGUGUGUGUGUGUGUGUGUGUAUGAAUAUAUUUAUAUACUAUAUAUAUAUAUAUAUAUAUAUAUAGAGAGAGAGAGAGAGAGAGAGAGAGUGAGAGAGAGAGAGAGAGAGAGGGAGGGAGAGAGAGAGAGGCAGAGAGAGAAAUUAUGGGAAUUGGCUCAUGCAAUUAAGGAGGCCAAAGAAAGCCAGUGGUGUAAUUCAGUGCAAGUCUGAAGGCCCAAGAACCUGGAGCACUGAUGUCCAUGAAUGUCCCAGCUCAAACAGAAUUUGCUUCUUUUCCACCAUGUUGUUCUAAUCAAUCAGGCUCUCAAUGGAUUAGGUGAUGUCUGCCCAUACUGCUGAGAUAGAUUUUCUUUGCCCAGUGUACUGAUUCAAAUGCUAAUCUCUUUUGGAAACACCUUCAGACACACCCAGAAAUAAUGUUUUACCAGCUCUCUGGGCAUCCCUUAGCCCAGUCAAGUUGACACAUAAAAUCAACUAUCAUGCUCUCCUCCGCACCCAGACGUGGUUUCAGAAUACUUUCUCAAGCGAGGCUCCAUGCAAUGCCUAUUAAUUGAGCUAAAUUAGGACGAAACCUCUUUGCCUUCACUGAUUGUAUCCAAACUCCUCAUUUGACAAACGGGGAGUCUGAGAAGAGAAAGAACAUAUUCCAAAGUCAUUCAACACGUGAAUGGUAGAUGUAAGACUCCGGUCCCUGAAUCCCACCUCGGGGUGCCUCCCAUCACCCCACAAUAGCUCUGGAGUGGCUGCUUUCUUGCAAAAUGUUCUUUGCCCUCAUACUUCUGCACUCUCCAUCCAACCAAGCCCUAAAGACUGUAGUGUUUAUUUUAGCGAGCGCACAAAUCUGGUCUCUAAAGGAUGAACAUUAAUAAAAUAUGUGCUCUAACUCUAUGUAACAAGGAAAAUAUAGAAUACAUUUUCUAUUCCCAUUGAUCCUCAGGCCACUGGCAAUCCACCAACAAUUGAUUUAGCCAUUUGAUUAGUUUGGGGGAAAACAUUAUAUUUUAAUGGGGUAUAUAUAAUUCUAAGUUACUGCUUUGAAGUUGAACCAAAUAUUAAAAUUACCUCUUUUUAUGGAUGCUGCACAGCUAUGAAGCUUUAUAAUUGCAGCCUGAGCUUUUGUAGGUGAUUUGAACUGGAGAGGCAAUUUCUGCAAAGCAU
rnacentral:lncRNA from 1 species